UCCUUGAUGGCUUAGAAGUUAAGGGCUUGGCUUUGUCACUGCUGUGACUCGGGUUCAAUUCCUGACCUGGGAA
rnacentral:tRNA from 1 species